UACAUAGGUCCCGAGCGUUGUCCGGAUUUAUUGGGCGUAAAGCGAGCGCAGGUGGUUUAUUAAGUCUGGUGUAAAAGGCAGUGGCUCAACCAUUGUAUGCAUUGGAAACUGGUAGACUUGAGUGCAGGAGAGGAGAGUGGAAUUCUAUGUGUAGCGGUGAAAUGCGUAGAUAUAUGGAGGAACACCGGUGGCGAAAGCGGCUCUCUGGCCUGUAACUGACACUGAGGCUCGAAAGCGUGGGGAGCAAACAGG
rnacentral:rRNA from 1 species